UUUUUUUUUUUUUUAAGAUUUUCUCAUUCAACCCUCUCAGUUGCCUGAUGAAGUAACUAUGAGCAUUGCUCUUUUAUACAUAAAGGAAUCACGUAUCAGAAAGGUUCACAUUUACAAAACAGAAAAAUCCAAAGGAAGAUAUAGCUUUGGGAAUGGCUUGAUCCAGGGACUUAACAUUGUGAGAACCUAGUUUCUUUCCAUUACUCACUUCUGUCUUCCAUGGUGGCUUCAGAACCUCUGUCCUAGGGGUUCAGGGAAUGGCUCCUACAGCUACAGGUUCACAUCAUCCUUUCUGCCUGGAGUAAUUAACGAGAAACAUACCUCUACCCCAGCAGUCCCAGAUAUUGUACAUUAUUGGCUCUGAUGGAAUCACAUGUUCACCCCUAAAUCAAGGAAUAUGAUGCUUUGAGUGCCCAAGAUGAGUCAAUAGUUCACUCCUGGGACCAAGAGAUGACUCCUCUCCCCCUACUGCAUAUGGAUGGAGGGUAGAGUUGACAAUGGAUCCUCAGGAGGAAGUUAAGAUAACAGAUGGCACAAACAAUGAAGUCCAGAGCAAGAAUAUUUCCCUCCUAUCUUCUUCAACAUGUUUGACUUUAUGAACACAAUUCAUGCAAACAGGUGGCCUUGGUAAUAGUUGGCAGCUCACAACUUAGAGUAGUUAAGUAGCAAGUUCCACUGGUUCUGGGUUCUCCUAUGGUCCUGAAAAAGAAUACGGAUGUCAUGGCACGUGAACACAGACUAUAACUAUAUCUCUAUUUAACUCCAGUCUCUAACAUCCUGUUUAGCAUCAUUGUCCCUCAGCUCUAUACUUGCACGCACACAGUGGAGCCAGUGUGGUGAUCCUCAAACUAUCUGUACAUCAGAAUCACUGGUGGGCUUAUAGAUACACACAUACACACAGAGGUAAAAUUGACAAGAGGACCAAGGCACAUAUCUUAUUUGCAAAAUUUAUAAGGGACUCUUGGGCUUCCAUUUAUUCUGGACAAAGGAUGAGAAGCAAAGAAAAGUGAUAACAGCUUGAUAGCUAUGAAUAAAGGCACAGCAUUUGGUUGGAACGUUCAUUUGUCAUUAGAGUUAGGGGCUGCCUGUCGCAAUCUUCACUUCCUCCUUCCUUCAUGGAACUCCCUCUGUAUGUUCUUGCAGAGACAUGUUCUUUGAUCUCAGCACCUUUACAAAAAGCUUCAGCUCCCCACAAACAAAAUCAGAUUCCUGAUGGAAUCCAGUGGGUGGUAUAGAUGCUCCCAGCAUUGCUCAGCCUGCCUCAUUUACCUGUGGACGCCAGUCCAAAAGUAAAUUGUGGCUGAAGGCACUACCAACAACAAUAACAAAUCAGCAUACAUGUAGCCAUUGUGCUAUGUUUGAGAAAUUCUUCUUUUCCUGAGAAGUUUUAUUUAUUUUACAACAACACCAUGAGGUUGGGAUAAUAGGAAAAUUAUCCCCUCAAUAUGUCCCUUCAGUAUUUAGGACUGGGAAAUCAUUUCUCUUUCCUCCCGAUCUGAUAUGCAUCCUUUAUUAGACAAUGAAAAUCAGAUCUCCUAGGUAUUUCCAUUUAUGCCUUAGCUUAGUUUUCAAAUCUCCAGGACUAAUUUAGCACUGAGUUUUAUGUAGCCAAAUUAGGUUAGGGUGUUGACAUGAUUCUCUUCCCCCCAUCCUUUGAUCUUUUAAGUACUCUUGUUUCAGAACUCUUUGCUAUAACCUAUAAAAAUCUUCUUAGGAGAUAAAUAAUGUAAACAUUAUAAAUAAAUGGAGGUAAAUGAUGCUUUAUUUCUGUGAUAUUCUCCAGCCAGAGAAGACCUGCACUUUAACGUGGUUCCACACCCUCCCUCCUGCCUUAGCUAAUUUGUUCAGGAUGGGUGAGCCCUCAGCCCCCGCAUAGGGCCUAGUGAAGCUUUCACUGACUUCCUCUCUUCCCUUCCAUCAGUUCCUUUUCCUUUCUUCCCCUGUCCAACUUGUAAGGUAAACUUUGCUUGAGGAAAACCCUGACCAAACACCUCCAUUCCCUCUGCAUCCUUGAAGAGCCUCAGAUCAAACAGAACAAUUAACUCAGCAAACAAUACCAUUAGCAGAGCUCCCUGUGCACCCACCAGCCCUAAGCUGAACAAACGGCUCUUGGAGCAUAUGGAGACAGGGAAUUGCAGGCAGGGAUUUUAUGGGCCUCUCAGCAGGCCUGCUCCAGCUCUUUGGGAACCAGACCAUUUAGCGUAUGUCUCUGUUCCCAACUGCCUCGGGGCCUUGGCUGGGGACCACAGGCUUCUGUACUCCAGUAACAGCAUUCAGAGUCAGGUGGGGCUGAAGCUGCUUUCGUGGCACCGCAGGCCCAGAAGGUACCACGGUCAGGACUCAGGCUCCUUGAGGCCGAGGACUGAUGGAACCCCAAGGAAGAGCAUACAAGAACACAUCCACGAGGAGAGAAGCCUCUCCCUGUUUUUCCAGAGCCUGGCACAUCGUUCACUUUCAGCUCAGCCUGUGAAACUUCUUGGGUACUUAGGCAGAAAUUGAAAGUCAUCGAAAAUCUCAAUGUACCAUAAGAACAGUAGUUUUUACAAAAAUCAGAGACUAAAAUGACCUAUUAAGGUGUCUUGUCCACCCCCUAUCAGCAUAGGAUUGGUCCCUGAAGAGUUUUGAUGGUUCAUUUUUAAAUAACUCCAGCAAUGAGCUUUCUAUCACAGAACUCCCCAGAAGAAACCAUUCUAAUGGAUCUCAUUCUUUGGAAGUGUACCCAAGAUCCAUCCUAAUUUCUCCAUUUCAUAAGCUGCUCCUUGUACCAUCUAAAAUGACUCCAAUAGCUCUUGCUGUGUUCUCUCUCUGAGGCACUUGGCUGUAGCAGCUUUGUCAUUGUGUAGUUUGUAAUCCUUUCUUAUUUUGGAGAGAGGCUAAUUGAUAGGCUUGAAAUUUGCUACGUGCUUGAUCAAAAUAUACACGAAAUAGAUACAGUCUCAAAAAGCUUUGCUUUGUGGUAAAAGCAAUCAGAAAUCAAAGGGUUAAACUGCAGCAGGCAUAAGGUCAACUGAAAACCUGAGACUGUAUAAAGUAGAGGUGAAAAGCUCAGGCUUUAGAGUCUGACCAGCCCGGGAUCAAAUCCUGACUCUGCCACCCACUGAGGGGUAUGACCUUGGCAUGGGAUAACCCCUCUGAGCUUCCUAUCCUCAUCUAUAAAAUGCAAAUAAUAACAUUGCCUACCCCAGAGUAUUGUUGGAGAGCUUAGGUGAAAAGAUCAAGGAUCUGAUAUACUAACUCAUUAAGUAGUAGCAUUUCUUUUUUUUACUGUAAAAGUGAUUUAGAUGUGAGAAAUAUAGUAAGAGCAAGAAUUUAGAGUAACUCUUCCACAUUUUUCCAAGGUAGAAAUCCACAAACAAAAUAAAUGGCUUCAUUCAUUCUUUUAUUUGGAACCAGCCAUGUACAUUUGCAGCACUGUGCUGGACUCAGGAGGAAUAACUGGGGGGAGGAGAUGCUCUCAUAUUAAGAAUUUAAUACUGUAGCAAUGGCAUGGCACUGCAGAGCCAGCUAAAUGCCAAGGAAGUGGGAAGAGGAAGGAGGGACUGAGAACAGAAGCCACGAGGGUUUCAUGUAGACUGGUCAGGGAGGCUCUGUCGUCCUCCACGCCCUAGGAGGUCGACCUAGGGCCCUCCACAUGCAGUUCUGGGGACAGCUUCUAAUACAGUCUUGCAAUACUCACUCUAAAGGAGAUCAAUGUGGUAUCAGAUUGUCUGUUUAAUCAAGUGGUCAGUCCCACUAGCUCUGUGUUAGGGCUCUUCAAGUAGUGACAGAAACGUAACUCUAAACCAGCUUAAGACACCCCCCACCAAAAAAAGGUGAAUUUAUGGAUGAUUCUGGGGAGCUUCUAGAAUAACCAAGCCUCAGGAGCCCAGAGAUGAGGAUAAUCUUCAGGACCACUGGACCUGGACAGAGACACUUCUUCAGGGCCUCUGAAGUUCACUUGUUCUUUCAGAGCUGGAAAGGUGGGGGAGAGGCAGGUGAGUGGUGAUGGAGAAGGCUGGAAUGUAUCCAGUGGCAAAGAAAGGGGAGCAGCAGCUGAUUUCACUGCAGAAUCACAGAAAGCCUCAGGAAUUGGAGGCAUCAGCUCCCUCUGAAAAUGGGGGUGUGAGUAGAACAGAAAAAAGUAAGAUGUGCUAAGUACAUUUAUAAGAAGCAUUUUGGCACGCCCACAUCCCUACCUCCACCACAGCAGAAAAUGAGAUGUUUAUUCUCUGUGGAGGGUCACCUGAGCACUUCUGCACUGCGAGACUAGAAAAGCUGAGGGCUGGGGUGCCACAAUAAAAACAGAGGAAAUUAAGUGGCAGCAGGUGUGCUGAAUCAGAGCCCAAGUCCCCUUUCCCAUGCUGGGCAAUGGGGUGGGAAGGGACAGGGAACUGCCCUGCUCUUUUUCAUUAUAAGCCUUUAGAAUUCAUUUUCUAUUUAAACUGUAGGUACAGAUACAUAUCUAGGUCUGCAUAGAUAUUUAUCUAUGUACAUAUAUAAAUAUCUAUAUCUAAAAUUUUUGUUAAACAUGCUGGUUUGGUGUCAGAGAUCCCUAGAUUUGUAUGAGUCCUAAGACUUCCUAGCUGUGUGACCUUAACCAAAUACCAUCUCCUCUCUGGAUUGCUCAUCCAUUCCAGGGGACAACAGACUUGACUGAGAUGGCCAAGAGCCCAAAUUCAGAGUUCCUUUUCUUCACCCUCUGUCAUUAUCAUCCUCAUCUUCUCUACCCUCUGUCAUCUCUGCUAUCACUUACCAGCACCCACCAAAGAAUGUGAAAGAGGUCAGAGUUGUGAGAUCAGAUUCCCAGAGAGCAAGAAUGGGAGGAAGGGCUGGUAUGGGCGGGGCCCGAGGCAGGGGUGGAGAAUUUGUUCCAGAGGAUUGCUUCCUUCCCCAUAGAAACCCCUACCGGAGGUGCAGCAUUGACAGCACAGGGUUUUAUUUGGAACUUGGGGACAAGAAUGGGCUGAGGGAGAAACUGUUAAAUUUUGGAGCCGGUUAUCAAACACAGAAUUAAUUUUUAAUUAUUAAAAAUUAAAUUAUAAAACUUACAGUGAUAUAAAUCAUAUCAAAAACAAAAGUACAAAAUACUGAAAGCUCAACACCUCCUAAUUAUUUGACCAUAUUUGACUAAAAUCUAUGUUCUUGAGGUUAUCCAUUGCGUCUGCUAUUAUUUAUAUAUAGUGAUGUCAUGUUGGUAGCCGAAAGUCAGCGUUGGUGAAAGAUUUACAUCACAGAAAUCAAUAAAUGCUAUAAAUCAAGACCUUUUUUUCUCGGAGAGAUGGUAUUUCAGCUUUCACUAGCACGCCACAGGCUGGAGAUCAGGAAUAUCAGAAUCCAGAAAUCUGGCUUUCCAAAGGCUCAAUAAAAACAUAUGUUUUGGCAACCUCCUCAGCAAACUCUUUCAUUUCCCUGUGUAUGAUGGGCCCUAGUAACCAGCAAGCAUUUGAAUGAACUGUAGGGGAGGAAACACUUUUCCUGAACCCUCUGCAUUUCUGUAACUGGAGAACGCAAAUGACGAAAGACACAUUAACAGAAGGAGAGCAGACACAUUCUAUUUGAAGCAAUAUUUUUACAUGCACAGGGGCUUCACAGAAAGAAAAAAGAAAAACCCCAAGAAACAGCCUCUGGGGUUUAUGCACCAUUUGAACAAAGGAUGAUAUCCCUGAAGGAGUGAGAAGACCAAGGAGGGCCUUGGGCUCUCAAGGGAGGGAGGUGAGCUGAGGGAGGAAACACACAGGGGAAACCAGAGGUGGGCCAGGAUUUGUUUAUGCAGAUUCCUCUCAGGACUACCCCCCCACCCCAUCUCCAGCCCUGAAGGUCGCUCUCCUCCUCAGGGUAAAUGAAGCACAGGGGAGGGCAAUCUCCCCGUAGCUAUUCAGUUGCCUCCGGCUCAAAAUAAUCCUUAUGCCAAAGGGGCAUAUUUUGGGGUGACAUUCUGAUGCCCUUUAGAACAAACAAACGAAGGGACGAAUAUCCAGAAAGCUGUCCUUAAUACUCAGAGCUCCUUUUUUUUUUUUUUAAGAUUGUUAUUUAUUCAUGAAAGACACACAUACAGAGAGAGAGAGAGAGAGACAGUCCCAGACACAGGCAGAGGGAGAAGCAGGCUCCAUGCAGGGAGCCCGACGUGGGACUUGAUCCUGGGUCUCCAGUAUCACGCCCUGGGCCGAAGGUAG
rnacentral:lncRNA from 1 species